UACGUAGGGUGCAAGCGUUAAUCGGAAUUACUGGGCGUAAAGCGUGCGCAGGCGGUGAUGUAAGACAGGUGUGAAAUCCCCAGGCUUAACCUGGGAACUGCAUUCGAGACUGCAUUGCUAGAGUAUGGGAGAGGGAAGUGGAAUUUCCGGUGUAGCGGUGAAAUGCGUAGAUAUCGGAAGGAACAUCAGUGGCGAAAGCGACUUCCUGGACCAAUACUGACGCUCAUGUGCGAAAGCGUGGGGAGCAAACAGG
rnacentral:rRNA from 1 species